rnacentral:rRNA from 1 species
CCUACGGGAGGCAGCAGUGGGGAAUAUUGGACAAUGGGGGGAACCCUGAUCCAGCGACGCCGCGUGAGUGAAGAAGUAUUUCGGUAUGUAAAGCUCUAUCAGCAGGGAAGAAAGAAAUGACGGUACCUGACUAAGAAGCCCCGGCUAACUACGUGCCAGCAGCCGCGGGAAUACGUAGGGGGCAAGCGUUAUCCGGAUUUACUGGGUGUAAAGGGAGCGUAGACGGCGAUGCAAGUCUGAAGUGAAAGGCGGGGGCCCAACCCCCGGACUGCUUUGGAAACUGGAUGGCUGGAGUGCAGGAGAGGUAAGUGGAAUGCCUGGUGUAGCGGUGAAAUGCGUAGAUAUUAGGAGGAACACCAGUGGCGAAGGCGGCUUACUGGACUGUAACUGACGUUGAGGCUCGAAAGCGUGGGGAGCGAACAGGAUUAGAUACCCCUGUAGUC